AUACGUAGGGUGCGAGCGUUAAUCGGAAUUACUGGGCGUAAAGCGUGCGCAGGCGGUUUUUUAAGACAGGCGUGAAAUCCCCGGGCUUAACCUGGGAACUGCGCUUGUGACUGGAAGGCUAGAGUACGGCAGAGGGGGGUGGAAUUCCACGCGUAGCAGUGAAAUGCGCAGAGAUGUGGAGGAACACCGAUGGCGAAGGCAGCCCCCUGGGCCGAUACUGACGCUCAUGCACGAAAGCGUGGGGAGC
rnacentral:rRNA from 1 species